rnacentral:rRNA from 1 species
AACGAACGCUGGCGGCAGGCUUAACACAUGCAAGUCGAGCGCCCCGCAAGGGGAGCGGCAGACGGGUGAGUAACGCGUGGGAAUCUACCCAUCUCUACGGAAUAACGCAUGGAAACGUGUGCUAAUACCGUAUACGUCCUUCGGGAGAAAGAUUUAUCGGAGAUGGAUGAGCCCGCGUUGUAUUAGCUAGUUGGUGGGGUAAAGGCCUACCAAGGCGACGAUCCAUAGCUGGUCUGAGAGGAUGAUCAGCCACACUGGGACUGAGACACGGCCCAGACUCCUACGGGAGGCAGCAGUGGGGAAUAUUGGACAAUGGGCGCAAGCCUGAUCCAGCCAUGCCGCGUGAGUGAUGAAGGCCCUAGGGUUGUAAAACUCUUUCACCGGUGAAGAUAAUGACGGUAACCGGAGAAGAAGCCCCGGCUAACUUCGUGCCAGCAGCCGCCGCGGUAA